UACGUAGGGUGCAAGCGUUUGUCCGGAAUUAUUGGGCGUAAAGAGCUCGUAGGCGGUUUGUCGCGUCGAAUGUGAAAACCCGGGGCUCAACCCCGGGUCUGCAUUCGAUACGGGCUAGCUAGAGUGUGGUAGGGGAGAUCGGAAUUCCUGGUGUAGCGGUGAAAUGCGCAGAUAUCAGGAGGAACACCGGUGGCGAAGGCGGAUCUCUGGGCCAUUACUGACGCUGAGGAGCGAAAGCGUGGGGAGCGAACAGG
rnacentral:rRNA from 1 species